ensembl:lncRNA
CUCAAAGCAGCUCUCCGCUCCCCCACGCUGAGGGCCCUAUCAAGGAAGCGUUGUUAAGCAGUAUAAUUUGAAACAUUUAACACCACAGUGUAUCCACGGUAUCUAUAAUUACUUCUGCUCUGUCUGUGGAUACAGAUUGGCAGGAAGCAGAUAAGUAUAAUUGUUUUCCAAUUAACUCUCUAAGUCUUUUGGACUUGGCCUGUAUCUGAGUCUAUCUGAGGAGUGAGUUUUCCCUCUUCCCCUUCUGCCAUUCUAGCCGGUUUUUUGGGAUCUCAUCCAGCAAGGGAACAUUCUCCCCUUGAAGCAUCCGACCUCUUCCCCAGCACAACAUUUACCCCCUCUCACCUCCCGUCCCUGCAGUGGGCUCCCCACGCUUCUCCUUGGCUGCAUCAGUAAGAGGUGAGCCCACCGGUAAGAGGUGAGCCCACCAGCUGUGCCAGGAGUGCCAUGCUCUUGACUGUGACCAAUUUCGGGGUACAGCUAGGAGUGGGGCACAGUCAGGGCUGAAGUCACAUACCGCAUCCUGCACUCUAGUGCAGUAAGGAGGGCUGCAGCCAGUAGCGUGGAUCCUAACUUAAAUUGGGAUUAAGCAACCUUUCCUGAUGGGGCCUGUCACAGCUCUCACAGCCCAGACAAUCUAGUGUGACUGAUUAUCUCUGCGUCAGUGCAAUCUGGGAGAAAAAUAUAUAUAUAUAAAUGAGAAUAUUUGGAUUUGGCAGGGGGUGGGGGUGGGGGGAGCUCUCAGCCAAGUUUGGAACAUACAACAUGUUAGGUGUUGAGGCUUCUCUGCAAGGGGAGCCAGUGAGAGUAGUCAGGAAGGGGCAAGAUUCGUAGCUGACAGACAGGGCUCGACCUUGCCAAAUGGUUCACGCGUUACUUCCAAAUCUGCAUUUCCUCUAAGCUUCUCCCACUAAAAAUAAUCAUCAUACCCUCAGAGCAGAUAAGCCUGAACAUUUUGCAGCAGGGGGUGGUGGAUGCAGAGCUGAGAUGCACCAAGAGGAAGGUGAGUGAAGCUCUCGGGAGGGACGAAACGGAAUUUCUGUCUUCAGUUCUCUUGGGGGAUGUUGUACUUCAUGAAUGUUUAAACAAGGUAAUCUUCAUGCGAUUUCUUAAUAUAUAAACUCAUGUAAAAUAUGACCCGUGACUACAGGUAGCAAAUGUGUACGGCAUGUAAUUCAUGUACAGAUGCGAAUGGAUUCACACUCUCUCCUAAUCUGCCUUGUAAGUCAAAUAAAAACCUGUCCUUACUGUG